GUGAGCUGCGCGAAACUCUUCCUCAUUGUCCCCCUCUGUUACAAUUCCUAAAUUAGGGUUUUUCUCAGGCACCUCUCUCGCCUUUCAGGUUGCUGGAUAUGGAAAAUAAAGAAGAAUGGAUACAUCAACAGGUACAUCUUCUAAUACUGCGAAGAGAAGAAAAACAUCGAAUAUGUGGAAAUAUUUUAGAGUAGAAAAGGAUGAGAAUGAGGAAGAGAGAGCAUAUUGUCUGAAAUUCUCAAAGAGCUAUGCGUAUACAUCAACUAGUGGAACCUCAAAUCUGAAGCGUCAUAAAGAGAAAUGCUUAGGAAUUUUAGAGGCUGAAAGAAGGGUAGUGAAUUUUGACGAGAGAGUUGCUAAGGAGAAGUACAGACGAGUCAUUAUUAGACAUAAUCUUCCUUUCAUUUCGGUUGAAUAUGAAGAGCUGAGGGACUAUUUUAGCUAUUUGAAUCCAGAUUACAAGUGUUACUCUAGGAACGCUGCUGCUAGUGAUGUUAUGAAAACUUGAGAGAAAGAAAAACAGAUUUUGAAGUCUGAGUUGGAAAAAAUUCCUUGUAGGAUAUGCUUGACCUCAGAUUGUUGGACUUCACUAGCUGGAGAUGGAUACAUAGCUGUCACGGCACAUUAUGUUGAUGCAAAGUGGGUGCUACAUAGCAAGAUUGUAUCGUUUUGUGAAGUUCUUCCUCCCCAUAGUGGUGAAGUCUUAGCUAGUAAAGUCCAAAAAUGUUUGAGAAAGUGGGGAAUAGAAAAAAAGGUGUUCACUUUGACUCUGGAUAAUGUCGCGGCUAAUGACAACAUGCAAGACGUAUUGAGGGAUCGGCUUAAUCAAGAUGAUAAUUUGGUGUGCAAAGGAGAAUUUUUUCAUGUUCGGUGUUCUGCACACAUCUUGAACCUGAUUGUACAAGCUGGUUUGGAAGUUAUUAAUCCUGCUUUCUGCAAGCUCAGAGAAACAGCGAAGUAUUUUAAAGGUGAAGGAUUGCACUUGCAGACUGUAUAGAUGGUGUUGAGGAUGUCGUGUUGUCAUUAGAUGUCAAGAAUAGGUGGAAUUCGACCUAUCUAAUGCUGAAGAAGGCUCUGAAGUAUCAACAUGGUUUAAAGAGGUAUAAAUUAGGUGAUACAAGCAUUUCCCUUCCAAUGAAGAAUGGAGAAGAGCUAGCACUAUCUUUGAGCUCUUGAAGCCCUUUAUAGCAUUACGACUUUAAUGUCUACCAGAAGCUACUUUACUUCAAACUUGUAUUUUGCUCAUAUUUGGAAGAUUCAAUGUUUGUUGGAAGUUCAAAAGAGCAAUGAGGAUAUCGUCAUCCAGACAAUGAUUUCUAACAUGAGGGAGAAGUUUGAUAAAUACUGGGAGUAGUAUAGUGUGAUUCUUGCAAUGGGGGCUGUCUUGGAUCCUAGGAUGAAUUAAAGCUUUUGAAAUGUUGUUAUGGUGAGCUCGAUCCAUUCACCUCCCAAGAAAAGGUUGAUCAUCUUGAGGAUCAGCUUAGGAAGAGAUCUUUGAUGAUUAUAGAAGACAGCUCUCUUUGACUCAUGUUGUUAGCUUUACAAGACCAUAUUCUCAUGCUUCUGAGCAAGGAACAGAGACCGAGAACUUUGGUGUGUUGGAUAUGAUAUUCCAGAGACUGCAGAACCAGGAAAGUCAGCGUUGGAUAUCUAUUUAGAGGAUCCAAAACUAGAUAUGAGAGCUCAUCCUGAUUUGUAUGUGUUGCGAUAUUGGAAAGAGAACAAGCAUCGUUUUGGCGCACUAGCAUUCAUGGACAUGGACAUUCUCAGCAUUCCUAUUACCACUGUGGCUUCUGAAUCUUCUUUCAUAUUGGAGCUCACGUAAUAAGCAAGUACAGAACUCGCCUUAUUCCUAGAAAUGUGCAAGCUUUAUUGUGUACUCGGUCUUGGAUUCAUGGCUAUAAAGUUGAUGGUGAAGAUGAAGAUGAUGAAGAUGAGAUAGUCAUUAUCCGAGAGGCUCCAAGUCAAGCACUAAUAACUCCAAAUCAAGACCAUGUUAGUACCAUGGAACUAUAGCUGGUGGCGGUCUCAUCCCUCACAUCAACAUAAUAAUAACAACUUUGCUUCUCUGUUUCUUAAGUGUUUUGAGAGAGUCUUUUAAGUGUAGUGUUUCAUAAAGAUAUUCGUUUGGUCUUCGUGAUGUAACUGUGUUUUUUAUCUUCUCUGUGUGAAGACACUCUCUUCCAUGCAUAAUGUGUUGAGAAUAUUUUGUUAUUUUACCUUCAAAAUUGUG